rnacentral:misc_RNA from 1 species
AAAAAAAAAAAAAAAAAAAAGGGCCCCUCUUUUCAGUUGGGAUCUUUCAUAUAUUUGAUGUCUUAAAAUUGAUGGAGGGGUCAUGUGUGGUAUUUGAUUAAUUUUUACUAGUUCUUCAGUAGAGUCUGGAAAUAUGUUGCGUUCAGAACAGGAAUAGGAUGUUGUUUCGUUGUGCUACAGAGUUACUAUGGUCGUUGAAGCUUGCUAUGGUGGUUGAAGCUUGCUUGUCGGCAUGCUUAAGUUCACCUACAUUGAUAAUAUUAUAUUAAAUCCCCACAUUACGUUAGGUGAUUUGAACCCUCAAAGCUCCAAUCUCGAUGAAUGAAGUUCUCAGUUAAACGAAAACAUUGGCGGUUUGAUUCUUGCGUGUUGCUUGACACCUUUUUAAAUCGAAGGAGAUUUAUAUUUAAGAAAUCAUUGCCCAGAGUAGUGCAAUGUUUUUAUUUGGUGUUAAGAGGACAAUUAAUAGCUGAUCAUUCUCCAUUCUCCAAUGGGAAAACGCUAAACCCACACGGCCGAUUACAAUUGAUUAAAAAGGACCUGAUUUCAAUGGCGGGCGAUCCAAAUUCCACAAGCACCUCUCUGAAAUUCUCCACUCACCCCAUGGUUGCACAAAUUCUUCGUUGUUACUUUUAUAAUUUGUCUUCGAUUAAGGGAGUGUUAAUCUAGUUUUUUGGCUUCAUCUUGGAAUUGUAAUGUGUGCAGUGAUUGUAAAUUGAGCAUGUAUUCUUCUUACAAUGAAUAUGUUUUUCAUUAUCCACUAUAGUCG